UAAUGGAUAGGUUACCCAACCAUUCUCAGAUCUCUUUUCAUAUUUAUGUCCUAUACUUACUGUGGUUGAGUAUCUGUAAGAUUUUGAUAAUGUUCUAGAUGCUUGAUGGUGAUUUCUUCUUCCAUGAAUACACUUCAAGGAGCCCACAUAUUCUCUAACUCAGGUUUUUGUUUUAAUGAGCCAGGAUGGAUGUUAGUGGUCCAGGAUGAUAGCAGAAGUCAUGCUUGGAGAUGCCUGAAUCAGCAAGAACUGUGAAUAACGCAGCUUCUGAACCAGCUGGUAUACCUAUUCAACAAAUAUUAGCUGAACACUCAUCAUGUAAAGCAUUACCCUAGCAGCUGGGGAUAUAAUAAUGAGUAAAACAGAAAAACAAUCCCUGAUCUCCUGAGCAUAGUUUUGUAGGUCAUUAUAGACAAUAAACAAGAAAAGAGGGGACCAUUGGAAGGGCUUCUUUGUCAUUAGUGAAGUUGUAACGACUGAAUUUUAGGCCCAGAGUGUCCAUGAGCCACAGAAAAUUAUUCACAAACUAAUGGAGUUUUCCCAGUUGAAUUUGGAGGAAACUGAGAUUCAGAGAGGUCAGAUUGGAAUAGGAACAGGAAACCACCUCAUCAUAAACUUUGAAUCUGGAUCUCUUAGGCCAACAUUUUACAUGAAGAAAAAGUAGGCUUCCAACACAGCUAUUCAGCUGCUCUACUACUGUGUGGAUAAAGGAGCCAAGAACAAUGUAGUUCAGGUGUUUCCACUGGUCUUUGUGCGAUGCUAAUGCCAGCCUCUGCCAGGGCUUGAAUGUGGACUCCCAGUAACUCGGGAUGCAUGAUCCACCUUUAACAAGCCUAUCAGAACCAGGCUCAGCAGGCAUGAUCCUGGAUGAGAGCUGAAAUGAAUCUCCUAUGAACAGCCUAUGGUUAGGUCUUGCUUUUUUAUCCAUCCAGCCACUCUAUGCCUUUUGAUUGGUGCCACGGAUAGGAAACCAUCGCCUAACGCAAGCUCACGGAGGUUUAUACUCAUGCUUCCUUCUAAGAGGGUGGAAGAUGUGAGAAACACUAUUACAUUUAGAUUGCUAGAUGCUUGU